GCCUCCGUAGCUCAGUGGAUAGAGCAACCGCCUUCUAAGCGGUUGGCCGUGGGUUCGAGUCCCGCCGGGGGCGCCA
rnacentral:tRNA from 1 species